AUCCAGCAGACGAGCCCCAAAUAGAACGAAAUGCGCAUCCUGGAU
rnacentral:hammerhead_ribozyme from 1 species